rnacentral:rRNA from 1 species
GAUGAACGCUAGCUACAGGCUUAACACAUGCAAGCCGCGGGGCAGCAUGGGGGUUGCUUGCACUCCCCGAUGGCGACCGGCGCACGGGUGAGUAACGCUUAUCCAACCUGCCCUUCACCACGGGAUAACCCGGCGAAAGUCGGACUAAUACCGUAUGUUGUCCAUUGACGGCCUCCGAUUUGGACGAAAGGUUUGGCGGUGAAGGAUGGGGAUGCGUCCGAUUAGCUGGACGGCGGGGUGACGGCCCACCGUGGCGACGAUCGGUAGGGGUUCUGAGAGGAAGGUCCCCCACACUGGAACUGAGACACGGUCAAGACGCCUACGGGAGGCAGCAGUGAGGAAGAUUGGGCAAUGGGCGUAAGACUGAACCAGCCAAGUAGCGUGCAGGAUGACGGCCCUAUGGGUUGUAAACUGCUUUUAUGCGGGGAUAAAGUGGCCCACGUGUGGGUUUUUGCAGGUACCGCAUGAAUGAGGACCGGCUAAUUCCGUG